rnacentral:lncRNA from 1 species
UAUGCUAAAGAAAAGAAAAACCUUAAAAGACAUGAUAAAAAGGCUUUUGGCAUAAUUGCCACCAAUUUGGAUGAAGCUAAUUUUUCUCACAUCAUCUCUUGCAAAGGAUCAGCAAUAGCAUAGAAGACUCUUUGCGACAUACAUGAGAGUAAGAACUUGUCCAAUACCAUCUUCACAAGGAGGAAGUUCUUCACUUGUAUGAAGGAAGAAGGUGAAGAUCUCAUGGAUUAUGUCAAUAACAUAAAGGCUCUUGCAAAUCAAUU